rnacentral:lncRNA from 1 species
UUUUAUGAUGUUUUAGGGGGUUUUUAGGGAGUAUAUUAGAGUUAUGUUUAUGUAUGUUUGGUCCCUCAUUGGAGUCCACCUGUGUAGGUUCGGACCCGAGGAACCGAGGACCCCAGCAGUGAGCCAGCUGCUACAGAGUUUGUCAGAGCUAGCCAGAGGUGAGUGGAAUAAACCUUAAGUUUUAAAAUAAAUGAAAUAUGAAUUUUGAGCAUGAUCCAUGCAUCAUGAAUGCCAUGUGAUAUAUUAGGUUGUCUGCAUUAGUAUUCACGAAUAUGUUGCAUUGCAUUUAUAAUGUUGAUGUGGAUUGGUUAUUGGAUGAUCCUUUAGUCCUCAUAUGGCAUGAUGAUGUUACGGCAUGAUAUGGUAUGGAAGUCCAGGUUGUACCCAUUCUACGUCCCUGGCACGAUGUAAGAGAAAGUCCAGGUUGUACCCAUUCUACGUCCCUGGCACAUUGGUAUGUUAUGAUAUGUUAUGAUAAGGGAAAGACCGGUUGUACCCAUUCUACGUCCCGGCACAGUUGGACUAUGUAGAGGACUAUUGGUGACAAUACCAUCCGAGAUGUGAUUAGUUGUGAUGUGUUGCAUUACAUAAUGGCAUGAAAUUUUAAUGUAUGUUUUCACUAUUCUGCUCACUGGGCUUUGUAGCUCACCCCUCUCCCCUAACCCCAGAUGUGCAGGUACAGGGUAGACCAGGCGGUUAGCCAGAGUUUUGAAGUAUGUGUAUGUAAUAGUUAGAUGGUGGACAUGACAGUUGUACUAUAAUGUAAUGUAAGAGAUUACAGUAUGUUAUGUAAUGAGGUAUAUUGAGGUUAUAGAUGUGCUUGACCCUAUGAGUAUUGUAAUCCCUUGUUGAUGCAUGAUCUUAGAUAUUUGAUGAUACAGAUGUUAGCCAACUCAAUGCAUGUAUAUCGCCCAUUGGGGCAUUGAUGAGAUCCCACCGAGGGGUCAAGUUUAUGAUUAUGAUCAUGUUUAGUGCAUGCACAGGUUGAGUUUGGUGUAUGAGGAACGAAUGAAAGAAAAGUUUUAAUUUUUAUGUAUGAUUGUUGGUCAUGUAUGGGAUUAAACAGGUUUACAGGUUUCAUGUUAGGCUUGCUACGGGUCCCGGCGGCCUUAAGCCGAUCUGGAUCCUAGCGCCGGUAGCGGUCCGAUUUUCGGGUCGUUACAAUUGGAGUAUUUGUUGAGGACUCCAGUGUGGGGUUUGAUGCUUAUGAUCAUAAGUUGUGCAUGCAUAGGUUGAGUUUGGUGAUUGAAUGUGAAAGGUUCAAAAUUUUUAUGUUUAUGUUGAUCAUGUAUGGGAUUAAACAGGUGUACAGGUUGUAUGUUAGGCUUGCUACGGGUCCCGGCGGUCUUAAGCCGAUCUGGAUCCUAGCGCCGGUAGCAGUCCGGUUUCCGGGUCGUUACAACUGUGGUAGGAGGUGACAUCAAUAUGUUUGAGGUGACACUCCCCCUUAAUAAAUAAAUAAAAAGAAAUUAUAAAGAACUGACGCGGCCCUUUACUUGCUACUAAUUUAUACUAACAUUGCUUUCAGGAAACGAUAAUAUUGGAAAAAUUAUAUUUUAGUAUCCCAAAACGCUAGGCUCUUGACACUCCCCCACUUAAACGAUCGACACUCUCAUCGACUGAGCUAUUGAUAAAAUCUUAAAUUUUUGUGAAUAAGUUGUAGACUUGACUCUUUCUCCCAACUUGUUUCUUCAACACUGAGGUUGUUCCACUUGACAAGGUACUAUUUAUGUGGCGGACACUUUGUGGUCUUGAAAACUCGUAUGGCUAAGAUCUCUUCGACUCGUUAGUUGACUGGUGGUGCGCAGUUGACUGCUGGUCGCGAUGGUUUGCAACAGCUGGCAUUGACUCAUCAGCAUAAUAUGACUUCAACUUGCUGACAUGGAACACUAGGUGGACUAUCAUCCACUUUGGAGGUUUGAGUCUGUAGGUUGCUUGUCCAAUCUUCGCGACAACAGGUACUGGCCCUUCGUACUUGCGCACUAGUCUCUUGUCACGGUUGCAGAGGAAUAUCAGCUGUUUAGCAACAACUUCACCAUCACCAAAUCUCCAAUGGCGAACUCCUGUGGGCGGCGGUUCUCAUCUGCCCAUUUCUUCAUGUUAUCAGAUGCUUUCUCCAAUUGAGCUCAAGCAAGUUCCACAUUUUGUCUCCACUCCUUAGUGAAUUGAUAUGCUCUCAGGUUUCAACCCGAAUAUGGCCCAUCUAUGGUAUGAGGGUCCAAUGGUUGUUGACCUGUUACAAUCUCAAAAAGGUUUUUGUUAGUAGCAGAGCUCUGUAAAGAAUUAAAAUAAAAUUGAGCAACAUCAAGAAAUGAAACCCAAUUCUUCUGGCUGGCACUAACACAGUGCCUCAGGUACUCCUUUAACAUCCCAUUAACUCACUCCAUUUGAACAUAUGUUUGUGGAUGGAAACUUGUUGACAUAUCCAAAUUGGUGCCCAAUUACUUGAAUAACUCUGACCAAAAUGAUCCAGUGAAUCUUGCAUCUCAGUCACUAACUAUGCUCUUUGGGAUCUCCCAAUACUUCACAAUAUUCCUGAAGAAAGCUUUAACAGUCUCUUCUGCUGAACAAUACUUUGACAUCGGCACGAACGUAGCAUAUUUGGAAAACCCUGUCUACCACCACCAAGAGCCCUGCAAUAAAAUCAAGAGAAACACUCUCCCACGGCCUACUAGGCACUAUUAAGGGAUGUAACAACCCCGAUGGUCUUUGUCUAUCAGGUUUAUCCUGUUGACAAACCAAACAGGUCUUCUUAUACUCUUUCACAUCAUUCUUCAUUCGAGGCCAAAAGUAACCCUAUUUUAAAAGAGCUAAAGUAUCCUGCUAGCCCACACAGUGUCAUGACACUCCUUCAACAACAAACUCCUAAGACCCCCUGCUCUUGGGACUAUAUUCUAUUACCUUUGGUGAUGAUCAAAUCCCUUUUUACCCAAAAUUGCCUAGUUUUUCCAUCGACUACCAAUUUCUUCAAGGCACAGCUUGGAGAUCCUUUAGUAACUCUUCUCGAAUCCUUCAUUUCAAUGUUGUCUCUGCUGCACUCUGAGAUAAUUGAGCUAUGUGUAUCAAAGUUGAUGCCUCUAGCUUCCUACUUAAAGCAUCAACCACUUUAUUGGAAAUUUCCGGGUUGUACAAAAACUGGAAAUCAAACUCAGAUAGACAUUCGUGUUAGGAAACCUAGAGAUUAUUGCAAUCCAAAACACGCAGCAGAAAAUAAAAAAUCUAUGUUUCCCUCACAGAAUUCGAGUGCUUCGUUUAUUUCGAAAGGAAGGAUAAGAGACUAACCUGUUAGACUCGACGAGAAGAUACAAUCCCGGACUCAAGAUGCUGCUUUUGAAAUGAACACCCUCAAUGGUAUCCACAAGAAUGUCUUUUACCUUUCUAGAGUGCUAGCUCUCUCAAAGAUGGAUAAGUUAUGUGCUUUUCCAAUCUGCAACUCAAAAUGAUUUCUCCAAAAAAACGUUAUCCCACACUACGCAGCAGGAGUUUUAUACGUUUUAAGUAUUUUUGUUUUCCCACAAUUCUUUUCGCAAAAGAGUUGUGUUUAUCACCCACUAUCACAAUCUCGCAGAUACUCAAAUAUCUUACGUGACAGUUUGUUUUGAUAAGGAAAACUGAAAAUCUUUUAUCUGUAACAGUUACAGAUAGACUGCAGAUCUUUUAAAUAUUAUUAUCUUAUAAUAAUAAUUAAUAUUAAUAAUAAUAACAUCUUUAUUAUUAUUAAUUAUACUAAUGGGCUUUUAGCCCAUUAAUAUAACACAUCAUCAACAUUCUUUUGUGUGUGACCCAAUAGGCUCACAUUAAUUGGCAAUAGGCUCAGUCCCACAAGGCCCAUAAAUCAUAAGCGGCCUCUAGCAAGACAUUAUGACUACCCAACUAAUAUGAGGAUCGAUAGUCUAAUAAAGCCUAAUAAAUAGAACAUGUAUUAAUCCAUUUGUCACACGAUAUCUAGUUUGAACAUAAGUCAUGGUCAAUGUCAAACUUAUAAUGUUCAAACUUGUGAUUACUUGAUCUCUAAGUAGACUAAUAAAAUCAAAUGAUAUUGAUCGCACUAUCAAUUCAUUUGAGCACGGCCAUGCAUUUCUCAGUCUCACUUAUCGAGGGGCCCAUAAGAUGUCUCUCUCAAAGAGAGGGAUAAAUUCUAUCUUGAUUGUUCAAUAUCCUCUACAUAACUUUUAUCAUGUUCAAUCAUAACCUUUAUGGUUGUCCGAUUAAAGGCAAUGUUUGGUUAUGUCAAAACAUAACAGUUUUUAUGUUGGAAACUAUGACAAUCUCAAGUCAAAGGAUUAAGACAUAACUACUUUGAGAUUCACUUAUGAUAAUAACCCAUGUAGUGAUCUUAAUGUGGGUUCAUCCAAUACUUUAUUCUCUAAUAAGUAUCUAUGAUUAUUGAAUUAUAUCAACAUACACAUAACCAUCUCAUGAUUAUCAAUCAAAAAUCAUACUAGUCAUCUCAUGAUUAUCAAUCAAUAAUCAUACUAGUCAUAUUUUAUUAUUAUUAACAUAAUAAUAAGUAAUCAGGGAUGUUAAUCAUUAUUAUAUAACAUGCAAAUAAAUAAUAAUGAUAAUAAAAUCUCUUUUUAUUAAUAACCAAAAUGAUAUACAAAAAUGUCCAAAAUAAUGGCCUAGGACAAACACACUAACAAUUCGUGCUACCUGUCAUGCUUGGGCGUUAAUCUCGGCUGAGAAAAGAAAUGGCUAACACCUGUAUUGUCUAUCUUGACCACAAAAUUCUACCCUAACAAGUAAUGUCUCCACAUUCGCAAACAAUGGACUAUUGCCAACAACUCCUUCUCUUGGACGGUGUAUCGAAUCUCUACAUCUUUUAACUUUCAACUCUCAAAUGCAGCAGGAUGGCCCUCUUGCAUUAGUACUACCCCUAACGCGAGGUUUGACGCAUCAUUAUGUACUUUAAAAGGUUUACUCAUAUCAAGAAGAGUUAACACCAGUUCAGCUAUCGUUACAUUUUUCACACCAUCAUAAGCUGCUUGACACUCAUCUGUCCACUGCUAUUUGUUCCCUUUCUUUAGGAGCUCUGUGAGGGGACAUACUUUUUGGGAGUAUGCCCUCACAAAUCAUCUAUAAUAGUUUGCCAACUCCAAAAAGGAUCUCAACUCUGUCACACUCUUGGGUACACUCCACUUUGGAAUAACUUUGAUUUUACUCUGAUCCAUGCCUAUCUUUCCUUACUCGAUCACAUGGCAUUAGAACUUUAUUCGGGUUUAAGUAAAAGCUCAUUUCUUUUUCUUCACGAAGAGUUUAUUCUCCCUUAGUUUUUUAAAGACUAUGCUGAGGUGUUCUCUAUAUUCCUUCAAAUAAGAGCUAUACACCACAAUAUCAUCAAGGUAGACUACCAUAAACCUGUCCAAAUACUCAUGAAAAACCUAGUUCAUUAAGGUGCAAAAAGUAGCAAAAUCAUUUGUUAGUCUAAAAGGCAUAACAAGGAACUCAAAAGCAUUGUACCGUAUUACACAUGUUAUUUUAGGCUCGUCGUCCUCUUUAACUUGAACUUGGUGAUACUAUGAUCGUAAAUCCAGCUUGAUAAAGAAUUUUGCCUGACCUAGUUGGUCGAACAAAUCUACGAUAAGAGAUAUGGGAUAUACCUUAUUCAAAGCUCGAUAGUCAACACACAAUCUUAGACUUCUGUCUUGUUUCUUUUGGAAUACCAUAGGAGCACCAAAGGGGCUUUCGCUGGUCGUAUAGACCCAGUUUCUAACAACUCAUCUAACUGCUUUCUUAAUUCUGCUAAUUCAGGUGGUGCCAUCCGGUAAGGAGCCUUCAUUGGAGCCUUUGUACAUGGUAAUAACUCUAUUUCAUUGUCAAUACUUCGAUGAGGUAGCAAAAUAGAAGGCAACUUUUAUAGCAUGACAUCCCUAUACUUCAACAUCACAUCCUUGAUCUCAGGAGGAUAUUGUAGCACCUCCCCCCUUCCUUCAUUAUCGGAACCACCACAUAUGCCAGUUCCUUACGCCUAACUUCCUUCUUGAAUUGCAAAGCCGAAAUCAACUUCUUUUCACAAAUAGGGCUAAAAGUGGUAGGUAUCACACAAGGUCUAUCGCCCAUAAGCAGAAAACAAUCUGCAGAGGGAAUCAGUACUACUCAAGCCUUCUUGAGAAAUUCCAUUCCUAUUACUACAUUGAAGUCAUCUAAAUGUGUUAUUGUGAAGUUCACCUCUCCCUUCCAAGGUCCCAUCUCACAUGCUACUACUUGAGCUAUCCCCACGUAUUUAGGGCCUUGGAAUUAACUGCUUUAAUUUUACCUUUGUCCACUUGGAUAUUCGGUCUAAAACAAGAGGCCAUCAAAUCCAUUAUAAAAUUAUUUGUAGCUCCAGUGUCAACCAAUGCUCUUGCUGACUUCCCAUUUAUAGUUAGGUCCACAUACAUCAGUCCUCUUGGAAGUUAGGUUUGGAGCUUGCACUCCCACCCCAGUUCUUCCUUUCCACCCCUUUAGCAUUAUAGUUAAACCGACUCACUCCCCCACUUUGGACUUACCCCAUUGCUAAGGACCUUGUCUUGCUCAGCAGGAGAAUUAAAUUUCCUCUUUGAAGACGGGUUGGAAUAAUCCUCUAAACUCUCAGCUAUAGCUAUAGCUACAUCGACAUCUGUCACAUGUCGUCUCAUAAACUCAUUUUUAGCCCAUGGUUUCAACCCUUUCAUAAAGUUAUAGAAUCGGCCCUCCUCUUGCAUGUUCAAUAUAUUCAACAUGAGAUGUGAAAAAUCCCUUACGUAAUCCCGGAUGGAACCUGUUUAUUGUAGCUCUCCCAGCUUGCAAUGUGCAUCAUAAGCAAUGUUCUCAGGAUAGAAUUGGGCUUUUAGUUCCUUUUUGAAAAUCUCUCAAGAUGUAACUUGGUUUGGACCCGACACCGCUCUCACUACUUUGGUGUGCCACCACAAUUUAGCAUAAACAGCCAAAUACAAGGGUAUAAUCAUCAGCUUGCCCUCGUCUAAAUUACGCUUAGUAACAUUGAAGAACAGCUCCAUGUCAAACAGAAAAUUAUCUACUUCCUCUGCAUCCCUUACUCCCUUGAAGGCUUUUGGCUUUAGGAUCUGAGUCCUCUUUACCUCGCAAGUAUACAUACUACCACUCCUUGUAGCCUUCCUAAGUGAAGUCACCUUCGAAUUGAGCUCUUCCAGUCUAUCUUGGAAUGUGUCCAUAGUCUCCUUGACAUUAUCAUUGACAACGUCUAUAGACACCUUAGUGCCAUAUCUAAUAUCUUCAACGACCGCUACCGAAGAGGUAUGAGCAUCAGUAACUGAUUUGAGACUUUCAAUUACACUUUCUAACUGAGAGGCCUCUGCUAUCUUAGUCUCAAAAUCACCCCACUGGGUGUUCUUGGCACACGAGGGAUUUUGGGUGGCCUCAAUCUCUAUUGGCUCACCCUCACCUCCAAUUAGUUUGGCUAUCACAAUCAGCAAUUGUUCAUUUUUCUUCUCGAGUGCCUUAAUGCGCUUAUAAGCAUAAUCAAAUUCUAAUGCCAUCCCCUCUUGGGUGGCGAACUCAUUGAACAGAGUAACAACAUUCUCAAUCCUUCUCUCCAGGGCAUCAAUACAUGUGGAAGACUUCGUCAUACUUUCACACUAUUCAACGAUCAUCUCGGCUUUGAUAACAAAUCCCACUGGCCUAGAUUUUAGCACUUGCUUGGGAUCGUGCGGCACUUGGUUUGAACUCUUUUCAAGCCAAGUCAGCCAAAAUAAUUACGCAUUCACCUGCACAAGGGAACAUCUAGUUUAAGACCUCCUGCUCCAUUCUUGUAAAAAUGGAGAAAACAACAGAUAUCAUGCAAGAAUAUCAUCAUCAAAAAAUUAUAGCAAUACAAGCACACCAAUAUGGCAAUUAAGCAUAGAGAUUUAAUGAACGGCCUACUUAUUUUAUUCUAGAGGCAAAACAGUCAUUUCACAAUUAUAGCAACAACACUCACAACUUGCGGACGAGGGGGAACGCCUGCAAGGAGUGGAUGCACAAUCUAGGGACUGAACAAGCCUACGAUGGCCAGCUGCCAACUAGUCACUCUCCCCUAAAGAGCCUUAGAAACAAAUAGAACUGUGGUAAGAGGAGGUAUCAAUAUGUUUGAGGAGGCAUUAAUAUGUUUGAGGUGACAUCCCCCUUAAUAAAUAAAUAAAAAGAAAUAUAAAGAACUUGUAACGACCCGAAAAUCGGACCGCUACCGGCGCUAGGAUCCGGGUCGACUUAAGGCCGCCGGGACCCGUAGCAAGCCUGACACAAAACCUGUAAACCUAUAUAAUCCCAUACAUGAUCAACAACAUGCAUAAAAAUUAAAACUUUUCUUUCCAUGAACAUCAACCAAACUCAACCUGUGCAUAACAUUAACAUAACAUUGAUCCCUCUGUGGGAUCUCAACAAUGCCCCCGAGGGGUGACAUAACAUAUGCUGAGUUGGUUACAUAAACAUCAUAAAAAUCUCUAAGAUCAUGUAUUAAAAGGGAUACAACAAUCUAUGGUCAAGCACACCACUAACAUCCAUAAACCUCAUUACAUAACUAUACUGUACUUUUACAUUACAAUUUGAUCAUGUCCAUUGCUAGCUAUUACAUAAGCAUGACUUCUUUACUCUAUCCGGACUCCCGCACUAUACUGUACCUGCAAGCCUGGGGGUAAAGGGAGAGGGGUGAGCUAAAAGCCCAGUGAGCUGAACUAUAACACAUAUUAACACUAUGCUCUAUGAAAUGCAUCAUAACACAGACAAUUUCACAUAAGGGUUGGGUGAACUUGUCACCAAUUAGUCCAAGUUAACUCUGUGCCAGGCCUGUAGAAUGGGGUCCUGGUCUUUCCUGUCAGAACAUACUUUACUUACCAUUUCCCCCGGGCCUCCUCUGAGCUCCUGGUCUUCGAGUCCCAUGACCGUGCUAGACCAUAGGAUGGGAUCCUGGUCUUUCCUUACUCUGUGCCAGGCCUGUAGAAUGGGGCCUGGUCUUUCUUACUCUGUGCCAGGCCUGUAGCAUGGGGCCUGGUCUUCCUGUCAUGGACUAAUUGGGUCAUCCGACAUUCACCCACAUCAACAACAACAAUCGAUGCAAUGCGGCAUAUUCGUGAAAACUAAUGCAAUCAUCCUAUUGCAUAAUCAUGAUGCAUGAUACAUGAUAAAACAUUUAAUUUAAAAGAUUGAGUUUAGUUCCACUCACCUCUGGUUGACUCUGACAACACCGAAGCAGCUGAACUCACUGCUGGGGUCCUCGGUUCCUCGGGUCCGAACCUACACAGGUGGACUCAAAUGAGGGACCAAACACACCUGAACAUAACUAUAAACUACUCCCCAAAAACCCCCUGAAACAUCAUGAAAACAUCACAUAAAAACAUGCAAGAAAUGGCUGAACAGGGCACUUUCGGCGGCAGGUUCGGCGGCCGAAAGUCCCUCCAGAGCCGAAAGUCAGGCAGGUUCGGCGGCACCUUCGGCGGCCGAAACUCCCAGACAGAGACGAAAGUCUUCUUUCGGGGGCAAGUUUCGGCAGCCGAAUGCUGCCUCCACAAGGGGGUUCGGCGGCCGAAACUCCCUUCGGCGGCCGAACCUGGUUUCUGCCAGAAGGGCAGAAACUUGGUUCACAUGAACCCCUUGCCUCCCAAAACCUCAAAUCAUGCAUAAAACUUAUCCAAAACAUGCAUACAAGUUCCUAGGGGUCUCAAACAGUCAUAUACCCCAACUACAACACUUCAAAUACACAAAAUCCACACACAUUGUUCAAAACAUCAACAUUAACCUAUAACUCAACAUAUAACCUAACAUGCAUUUCUACCCAUAGAUCUUGCAUAAAACUUAUUUAAAACACAUAAGGGGCUUAAGAUCGGCUCUUACCUCUUGAAGAUCGAGAGGGAGACGACCUAAACUUGGAGAUCCACGAAAAUGAGCUCCUGAGUUCCCAAAGCUCCAAAACUUGGUUUAAAUGCUCAAACUUGCAAAUGUGAGUUUAAAACUCAAGAAAAAUGGAAGAGAUUUGGAGGAAGAACACAAGAGUUGCAAAGGGAAGGUCGGAAGCUUGCUGUGGCCGAAAAUGGGAGAAAACUCACCCAUUUCGGCUAAGUGCCCCUUUUAUAGGUGGCUGGCCAGGCCACGUUCGGGGCCCGAAUGCGCUCCCGCAUCCAUGAAAUGUUCGGCAGCCGAACUUGACUUUCGGCGGCCGAAACUGGACUUCCCUAACUCAUACUUUCGGGGGCCUAACGUGCCUCCAAAGCGCAUGCAUGUUCGGCGGCCGAACUUGACUUUCGGCGGCCGAACCUGAGUUUUCCUCCAAGGACUCUUCAUGCAAAAACUCAUUUAAUUUCAUACUUAAAACCAUUAAAAACAUGAAAACAUUUUACAAAAACAUGAUUUUACCCUUCUAGAGGUCUCCGACAUCCGAGAUCCCACCGGACGGUAGGAAUUCCGAUACCGGAGUCUAGCCGGGUAUUACAGAACUAGUGCGACCCUUUACUUGCUACUAAUUUUUCUCAAUAUUGCUUUCAGGAAAUGAAAAUAUUGGAAAAAAUACAUUUUAGUACUCAAAAUGCUAGGCCCUUGAUGUCAGGGUUAGAAAAUGUCCGAAAGCUCAACAAAGUUGUUAAAGGCUAAAGAGCUCACAAGGGCUAGAAAGAUGCUCGUAGAGGCUAGAAAAGGCCAAGGAGCUCGUAAGGGCUAGAAAAAUCCCAGAAACUGGCAAAGACAUUUGAUGCCAAAAAGCUCGUCAAGGCUAUAGAAAACCUAGAAACACGCCAAGGCUGAAAAAUGUCUAGAAGCUCAAUAAGGCUGGAAAAGGCCAAGGAGCUUAUAAGGGUUAGAAAAAUGUCUGUAAAGGGUAGAAAAGGCCAAGGAGCUUGUAAGGGCUAGAAAAAUGCCCAGAAGCUGGCAAAGGCAUUUAAUGCCAAAAAGCUCGUCAGGGCUAGAGAAAGAUUGGAAGCUCAUAAGGGCUAGAAAAAUGCAUGGAUGCUCGCAAAGGCAUUUGAUACCAGAAAGCUCGUCAUGGCUAGAGAAAGCUCGGAAGCACGCUAGGGCUGAAAAAUGUCCAGAAGCUCGACGAUGUUGGAAAGGCCAAGAAUCUCGCAAGGGCUAGAAAAAUGUUCGAAAUUUUGUUAGGGAUAGAAAAUUCUCAAAAGCAUAACAAGACUGCAAAAAGCUCAGGAGCUCGCAAGGGCUUGAAAUGCUCAAAAACUCGUCAAGGCAUUAUUAUAUCACUCAGAUCAAUUUUUUCCAAGACAAGAUCAUAAACUUGACUGGUCGGUAGGGCAAGCAAAAAGAAAGCAAGGACAUCAUGGGAUCAGCUCGGACAAAUAAUCCACAUGACCCAGAUCACGAAGACAAUUAUCACUUUUGAAUCUAAAGAAUCGAAGACCAGUGGGAGGACCUCUGAUGCUACAUGAGACUCGCCCAAAAUAGGCAGUGAGUUGUCACUAUAAGACUGAGCCAUGUGGCAAGGAUCUAAUAAAUUAAUAUGCGGUCUCAUCCGUAGAAAGGAAGGCUCGGACGACCAUGGUGCCCGAAUACAAAGAAAAAAGGAGAUCCGGGUGCUUCAAGAUAGGUCGGACAAUAUUUGCCCUCAUAACUUCAGGGUGAGGCUUCAUAAGGAAGUUACCAUUAACAGUUACAAUCUAGUAGAUCCCCUUCACACCUUCGAUCACGGGAUUCUCGAUCAAUUAGCUAGUGAAUAUCCUAUACCAACGAUGAUGCGGAAUCCAAGACCAACUCGUGAUUAAAAAUUCCAUCGCACAACUUGAUAAAAGAACAAAAUAAAGAUAUCUUCCAGAAUAUUAUUCUACUACACCUCUAACCAACCAAUGUGAUUAGAAAUAUAGAUAAUGGAGCGAAGGUUGCUCUAUCACACCCCUAACCAACCAAUGUGAUUAGAAACAUAGACAAUCAAGCGAAGGUUGCUCUACUACACAACUAACCAACCAAUGUGACCAGAAACAUAGAAAAUCAAGCGAUUUCAUCUUCGAGAACACCACAAGAAAUUCUUGAUAAGUUAACUUAACCAAGUAUGGAGGAAAUCCAUAUUAGAAUGCCACAAGAUUAAAAUCUUGAUAAAUUGCUAAAAAAUGGAAAAGAACUAAAUAUUGUUCAUAAUAUCGUCUUUUUAUUCAUGGCUCAUUGUGGCUGCCACCUUAAGGGUAUUUUUAUAACUUUCAAACCCUAAUUCUAUUGUAUGAAGAUGUAAUUAUAAUAUAGAAAGGGUAUUUAGUCAAAUAGUCAAACCUAGAUUACGUUAAAUAUCAUUUUCCAAAAUUAUCUUGGAGAAAUCUCCUUCCUAAAUAGGCUGCACGAAUUGGCUUUAAUUUUGAUCAAAUUAAUUUAAAACAAAUCCCACAAAAUACUAAAAUACCAAAAUAACAAAAUUGGCCUAAAUAUAAUUUGGCCAUAAAUGCAUUACGCGAUCUGAAAUUAUGUUGUGCGUCCACAUAUGUUGAAGAGUUUGUUACUUAUUUCCUUAUUUUUCCAUACUUCCCAAAUAUAGUUCUCAUCUCGUAAAUCUUGAAUUAAGUAAUAAUAACUUGAUUUGUCAUUAUUUAGAGUUUUUCAUUUUAAAUCUUUGAAGUAUCAUGUCAUUUCCUUGCUCAUACCAAACGAGCUGGCCACAUUAUCGCCGGAUUAUCAGAAAAUAUUAUAUUUAUAUCCACCUUCUUACAGUAUAAAAGGAGGAAGGAGAACGACCACAGAGGUAAAAGUACGAUAUUCUCUCCCACAAAUACUCUUAAGUUUUUUAUUCACCGUUUUCUCAAGUCUAUUGACCUAAGCAUCAAAAUGGCUGUUGUGAGCACCCACCACUUCACUUUCUCUGUCUUAGAUGAUUAGCCAAUCACAGCCCAACUCCAAUCCAGCCACAUCAGCAACCUCAUUUAGAUUAAUUAGAAUUUAUAUUAUUAAGUAUUUCCUAAUUUUUUAUUAUUAAUAUUUCGUUUGUUUUUUAAAAAAUAUUUUAAACAUUUUUUAUAUUUAUGAAAAUAUUUUUUAUAAAAGAUUUGUCUUUUUUAAGAAAAAAUUUUCUCAAGACUAAAUUUUCCUUUGAAAAUUUUAUUAAUGCUAUUAAACUUUCUAUACAUAAAUUUAUUAACCUUCCUUAUUUUUUUUAAUUACUAAUAAACAAAAAAUAAAUAUUUUUUAAAAAUAUUUUUUUUAUAUACGAAUUAUGUUUUGUGGAAUAAAUUGUCUAGCGUGUCAUUAUACGUUUGAUAUUUCAAUUACUAUAUAUUGAGUUAGAUAGUGGUUCUGUGAUUUACGUUUAUAUCUGUAUAUUUAUAUAUUGUUGUAUUUAUUUCACAAAAUAAUUAAUAAAUAAUUGGAUAUUUUUCAUUUUAUGCACUAAGAAAUCUUUUUAUAUCCGUUUUAUAGUCAUAAAAAAUUAAUUAAUUUAAAAUUUCUAGUUAUUUUUUCCUCAACAAGGCCUUUUUCAAAAAUUAAAUUUGCAUCCUUUCCUUAGAAACACGAAAGACGAUAUACACAACUCUUGUUAAUAAUAAUUAGUUAUUUUUCACAACAACGCCUUUUUCAAAAAUUAAAUUUGCAUCCUUUUCUUAAAAAUACAACAGAAGACAUAACAAACCACCUUAUUAUUAUACCCAAGACAUAUGGUUGAUGAUGGAUGUGAGAUCUAGGAGUGUUUAAGAUUCAAACACAAGGAGGAUGAUUUUUUAGGGUUUCAAGAGGAACACUUAGAAUACUAAUAAAUAAGAGUAGUAAUGAAACUUGAUAAUUUAUUAUAGGAAGUGGUAAAAUUUUGAGUUGCAAAUAAGUAAUGGUGGUUUUCAGAAAAUAAAGAAAAUGCUCAUUUUCUCCAAUGCUACAUGGGUAUUUAUAUUUGGAUCCGUACGUCGUACACUUACGAUAUAUCUUUUUAAAAUGAACAAUUGUAUUUUUAACAUACUUUUUAGAUGAUUCAUUAAUAGCGGAUAGUUAACUCAUUAAUAUUUAACUGACUCAGGUCAUAUCAUGCAUGGUUUGUACAUUACGGAAUGAUUAUUAUAGUGCACGCAUUUAAAAAUCUUAUACGAAUAUUAAAAGUUAGAAAUAUAAUACUUUAUUUAGUAGAAACUCUUGAGGUUUAAAGUGUGUUGUACUGGUAUUAGGAUUAUGACCCUUAGAGUCCAUGUGUAUUAGACUUAGGAUUUUUGUUAUAAUUUAGACUUUUUUUUCUUUUUAGAUUUUAAAACCCUACUUAUUUGUGAUACUUGAAGUUUUUGGACCUUUUAUUGUAUUUUUUAGAUCUCUGUGCUUUUUCUAAUGAAUAUAAUCUAAUCUUUUAGGGAAAAAAAAAAACAAUCAGGGAAAUUGGAGAGAUAUUCUAUGUUCUUUUUGUUUUUAGUUUUCUUUUAUGGUUAGAAAAUAAAGUUGGAUUUCUCUAAGGGGGACAAGAGAGAGAGUGAAGAUCACCAAAGAUUUGCAUGUGAUGUGGAGCUUGACGCGAGAGUUCACAAAGAGUACAUGCGUGCCUGCCAUCGCCUAAUCUCUUGUAAAAAGUGGCUGCCAAUUUUGUCCUAUGAUCCAUUAGGUGUCACCAAAAGGGUGGUUCGGCCGUAAGGAAUGGGCUGGAGAACGCCAGAUUACUGAACCCAAUACCAUUUGUCUCAAUAGUUGUACGGGAGUACUGCCUUAGUGUGCGAGUGCUUUGCAGAGCGGAAGAGCGAUUCAAAUAUGAGUCCCCUUAAUUCAGAUAUGUACUGAAUAGAUUUAUUAAGAAAAUAAAUAGUUCUUUUUCAAAUUUUAAAAAGUGUUUUAUAUUUUAAAUUUAAAUUUUUAAUUUUUAAUUAAAAAAUAGCUCCUGUAAUUUUCUCGGAUUCUAUAUAUAGAUAUUCAUGAUUAACUAUUAUGUAUAAAUCUAUUAAUAUCUUUUAAUUUUUGAAUUAUGAUCAAAAAAUAAAAAAUAAAAAAUAAAUCUUUUACUUAAAAAAUAUUUUCUGUAUAAAUUAUUUUUUAUAAAAAAACAAAUCGUUUGAAAAAAUUUCAUUAGAAACCUUAUGUUACCUCGGAAAUCUUCCAACGGAGAAUUUUGACAUAAGAUUCGUUAUGGUGAGAAUUGAAAAAUACAAAAUAAUGUCUUAUUGCGGUUUCUCCAUAUAAUGGUUACAGUUGAUCAAUCACUUUUCAAAGUGAAAAUAACAACACUCUUAUAAUUUUGGACAAUGCAAAAAAAAUAAUAAAAUAUGUGGCCAAUCUAUAAAGUGGAAAGAAAAAAAAAUUACAAUCUUGCUAAGUCAAUCAUUACAAUUCCUGAACUGAGUCUGUUGCCUCACUUUUCUACUUGUGAUUUGCGCCACCCGUUCUCUUCGACCUUCAGCGUGUAUUGCCUUCCUUGCUUGUUAUUUUCAUACCCCAUUCACUUUCGUUAUAUCUUUGUCAUCACCAAUUAAGAAGUUUGAUUUUUGGCGUACAGCUGAUUUCCACAUAAAUUUUAUGUAUAAGGUCAUGAGCUUAGAAUUUCCCGUAGAGCUGAUUUCCACAUAAAUUUUACAUCUAAAUUCAUGAGCUUAGAAUUUUGGUGUGCAUUUAUUCAAAUUAACUAAUAUUGAGAUACUAUUAAUUAAAUACCCGAUAAAAUCACAUAGAAUUUUAUAUAUUUAUAUUAUGAAUCUAUAUAAAUUCAGUUUAGAUAAAUUUUUAUUAAUUAAUAAAGAAAUUAUUAUUUAAACCGAAAUCAAUAUAGACCCAUAAUAUAAAUAUAAUGGAAUACACAUAAAAUUUUAUAUAUUUAUCCUGCAUGUACAUAUGAAUUUAGUAUAGGUAAAUUUUUUCUAAUUAAUAAAAAAAUUCAUAUCUAAACCGAAUUUAUAUAGAUCUACAGCGUAAAUACAACGUAAAAAUCAUAUGAAAUCUUAUAUAUUUACCCUGCAUAUCUAUAUAGAUAUAGUCUAACUAAGUUUUUUUUCAAUAUCUCUAUAUAUAUGUCAUCCUAGCGUCAUUUUUAAUUGUUUUUUUUUUUUUUUUUUUAAAUGAAGGAGUUCAAAAUCAUGUACGAAGGCUUGAUGAUUAAAAACAACUAAUAAUUUGACAUAUGUAUAGUUGGUGGAUCUUGAAUUAAGAUGCAGAGUGUUAUAUUUGUUAUUAAUAAUUCUAGUAAAUAUUAUUUAUGGAAGAAUAUUUUUUUAUAGAAUAAAUCUCUUAUUUAUUGUAUUAUUUUAAAUUAAAUAUUAAAUUUUUAAUUAAAUUGAAGGAUUAACACGAUAAAUAUAAGUAUGAUAAUAAAAUUAUUUAUCUUUGUUUAUUGUAAUGUCAGACUUUUGCUUUGUGUAAAUUUAUGUAAGGUGAGUAUUUGAUUAACCGAAUCAAAUAAAAAUUUUAAGUAAUUGAAAUUUUACUAACUCUUAAAACAUUAAUCAAAACGAACUAAAAUUAAAAUAAAAUUAAAUUUAAUCGAAAUUAAAAUAUUGGGUUAGUUAUCUGAAAUAACAGAAUUAAUUAAAAUAAAAUAAAAAUUAUUUUUAAAUUAUUAUAUAAUAACUUUUAUUUAUAAAAUAACAAAUAUAAUUUAUUUUAGUAAAAUAAUAAUAAUAAAAAUAAAAAUAUAAAAACAAUGAUUAUAAAUAAUAUUUUAUUAAUUAAUAAUAAUAAUAAUAAAUAUUAUUUAAUAAAAUUUAAUUAAUUCAAUUACCAAAUUAAAGAUAACUGAAUUAAUAACUAAAAAAUCAAAUUUUUAAAAAAUUAUUAACCAAAUUAAACUCAAUUUACAUCUAAAAAAAAAUCAAAUUUUAUCAAUUUAAUUAUUCAGUUAUAUAAUUAAAUAAUGCAAAGUUCUAAUACUAUAUAGGAGUGAGAGUUUCCAUUUAAAAUAGAGAAAGAAUAUAAAAUUCAAUGUAUAUAUAAAAAAUUUUUAUAUAUUAGUGUAGUUAAAAAUAUUAUUAUAUAAUAUAGUUAUAGUAAAUAUAUUAAAUUAUUUUAAGAUGGACGCGAGUAAAAUUAAUUACUAUAUUUGGUAUGAAUAAUUUAUAUCGAUAGAUAAAUUUAAGUGUGAUCGAGUUUAUGAAUUGAAUUAAUUGAGAAUUUUAUUGAAAAUAAUGGAGAAUGAAUGGCUGUAAACAUAAUCACAAGGUGGCUUUAGUUGUGGAAAAAUACGUUGAUUUUUCAAAAGAUAUAAUGAUUGGUUAAAUUGAAUAAAUCCACUUUUGAAAUUAUAAUUAAUCAUUAUUCCAAUUAGCAGAAAAAUUAAGUGCACGAAAUGUAGUUCUUAGGUGAUAAUGAUUUAAUAUUUGAAGAAUUGAUGAGUUCAUAAUUUCUUCUCCCUUCUCUUUCAUUACAUUGCAUAUGUCCAUGAACGUGAAGCAUUCUCCACAUAUUUCUCAACCCUUUCUCUUAUUUUCUUUUUCUCUUUUUAACAUUUUUUUUAAAUUCAUAUUUUAAAUUUUAUAUCUCCAACCAGAUAAAUAUCUUAUCUCAAAAUUUAAUAUUUUAUUUUUGAAAAAAAAUGAAAUAUAUUAUGAUUUAAUUUAUUUUAUAUUAAUAUUAGGAUACAUUAUUGUAGGGUGUACGGAAUGUAUUAUAUAAUUCACCAUCUUUGAAUUGUUUGGUAUGCAGAGUGAAUUUCCCUUUCAGAUUAAUCAAUUUAAAGAUGAUGACUCCAAUGAAUGAGGCAUUCAAAAGCAAGUUAGCUACUUUUUUUUUUCUCAAAAGUUUAUGUCCAAAUUCUGUUAACGUUAACAAGGAAAUUGUUUAUUAGAGAGAAAAAUAAUUACCUUGUCCAUUAUAAUUAAAUAAAGGAAUAUUUUAAUUGGAAUAUGCCACAUGUAAUAAGAUCAUGUACUUGAUAAAUAUAAGAGUUUUUUUUAAUAUGUAUAUAUAAUUUAUGCCCUGUAAACAUGCACUUUGUAAACAGAUGUAAUUAUGCUUGUUGUUGUCUGUAUAUUCCAUUAAGAUUUCAUUUAUUUUAUAAAAAAUAAUUUAUAUGCAUAAUUUUUAAAAAUAUUUAAAUUAUUUUUUAAUAUGAGUCAAAAAUAGAGUUGUGAUGUGAUUGACUAAAUCUAAAGAAAGAAAGCAUGAGGCGGCUGUCUUCCAAGAUAGUCACUCUGACGUUUAGGGCCGUAAAUGAACCAAGCUAUUCGUAAGUUAUUCGAGACUCGAUUCGAUUUGUAAAUGAGUCAACCUCGAACUUAAUUUUUAGACACGUUUAUUAAACGAGUCAAAUUUAAACUCCGUAAUAUUCGACUUGUUAAAACUCGUGAAUAAGUUCAUGAACAAACUCGUUAAGAAAUUCGUAAAUAAACUCAUUAAAUGACUCGUGAACAGACUCGUUAAGAAAUUCGUGAAUAGGCAACAGGCUUGUUAAGAAACUCGUAAACAAACUCGUUAAGAUGCUUAUCAAGUAGGCUCGUUAAGAGACUCGUCUCGAUUCGAUUACACUCCUGUCACUUAAUCUAUUUACUAUAUAUAUUGUUAAUUUUUAUAUUUCUAUCCUUUAAUUAUAUAACUAUAUUAUUAAUUUAUAUAUUUAUUUUAUGCUAUAUAUCUUUUUAAAGAGAUUUUUUAAAUUAUUAGAUCUCUUAAUAAAUUAUUGUUAUUAUUAUAAUUUUCAUAUGUUUAUAUAUGUAUUUGUAUGAUUAUUUUUAUACUUAAUAUUAUUCGUUUAAUUUUAUAAAUUAAAUUUUUUAUAUAAUUUAAAUAUAAAUCAAUAUUAUUCCAUUGAUAAAAAUUAUACUGUAUAUAUAUAAUUAUAUAAUUUAAACAUAUUCAUAAAAUUUGAGUAUAAUGUAUAUAUCUAAUUAUAUAACUUAAACAUAUUGAUAAAAUUUGAGUAUAAUGUAUAUAUAUAAUUAUAUAAUUUAAAUUGAUUAUACUUAUAUUAAUAUAUUUAUUUUAUGUAAUAUUUUAUAUUUAUAUUAUAUAUAUAGUAUUUUUAUAUAAUAAAAUAAUUUAAUAUAAAUUAUAUAUUUAAAUAAAAAUAAAUAAUGAUAUAUGAAUAAUGAAAUGAUAACAUAUGAAUAAUCAAUGAUAAUAUAUUAAUAAAUUUUAUAUAAAAAUAUUUAUUGAUACUAAUAAUAAAAUUAUAUAGAUUUAAUUAAAAUUAUAUAACUUAAAAAGAAAUUUCUUCUCUAUAGACUGUUUAUAUAUAGAUUUAUAUAUUUAUUAUAUAUAUUUCAAUUAAUUUUUCAUAUAAUAUAAAUAUUUAAAUAAAUAAUUAUUAAAUUUUGUAUUAUAUCAUAAAUCUUAUAUUAAAUAUAUUUUAUAUAAUUAAUUAAAAGUUUAUAAUUAGUAUUUGAAUAAUAAAUAUUAUUUAAUAUUAUAAAUAAAUAAAUAUAUUUAAAUAUUAAAAUCUGAAUAAUUAAAAAAAUUAUCAUUUGUCGUUGGUGAGACAACCCAAAACUUUAAAAAAUUCUUUGUUCAUUAACCACUAUACUACAAAUUCACUUAGCUAAAAUUACUACACGUUAUUUUGGUGACACAUAACUCAAAAUUUUUAAAAAAUCUCCGUUCAUUAACCACUAGACUACAAAUUCACUUUUGCAAAAUUACUACACGUUAUUUUACAUGUGAGGUAUUAAAAGUUAAUGAAACAAUAUUUCUAUUUCACAUCGAAAAUUUGAAAUGAUGAGGUAAAACUUUUAUAUAAAUAAAGAUUUCACUUUCUAUUUUAUUUUAAAUUAAGAAUUUGGUUAUAAUAAAUUUUAAUUAAAUUAUAUUUAAUUUUAUUAAAGUUUCUUUUUAACCUUUUAAUUUAAAAUUUUAAUAUUUAAAAAUUUAAAUUAAUUAAGUUUUUUAUAUAAUUUAUUAAAUAUAUUUAUAUAAUUUAUUUACAAUAUAUCCAUUUACUUUAUAAAAUAAAAAUUUUAUUUCUAAUAUAUUUUCAUAGAUCUAUUUUAUUUGCAUAAAGCUUUUUAAUCGAGUUUUAAAACUCAAGCUUGAAUUAGACUCGUUAUUAAUUUAAAUGAAUAUUUUAAUCGAAUUUUUGAACUCAGAGUUUUAAUUAGACUCGUUAUUAGUUUAAACGAGUUUUUUACGAAUCAAACUUAAAUCGAACUCGAUUAUAAUAUUUAAUUUUUGAGUCGAGCUCGAACUUAUAAAAUCUUUUAAUAAACGAGCAUGAAUUUUACAAAACUCAGUUUAACUCGAUUCAAUUACACCCAUGUGAGUUUCUGAUUGCCCCUUAUAUUUUCUUGUUUUUACUUACAGGGCUUGGAUCAAAGCUCCUCAAAAUAUAUUUUUCCGUUUGUAUACUUUAGAUUUU